GCUUUCGUCAUCAUGCUCAGGCAAAGCAUACAAUUUUACGUGGGCAUCUAGAUUACCACCCAUAUGGCCUUUCAAAAGACACCCCACUCUUGAUUGCAUGACAUGUUGGGUGGUGGAUUUUGAUAGGGGGCAUGUGCCUAACUCGUACCCAGUCCGAUCAUACAAAAUCUCCAUUUAGGCAUCAAAACCGCCAUCCAUAUAACCUUUUAAAAAGACAUCCCAUUCCCUCAUUUAUAAAUGAAUUUUGAAAAGACUCAGACCCACUUUAGUGUAACACCCUCUUUAUGUAUGUGAUUCACCCUCAUAGAUUUGAAUAAGUGGGUUGUGUUUCUUGCAGCUCGUGUGGUUUCAAAAGCAGUGCUCCAUCCCAUCUCCAAGGAAAAGUGGAACCCUAGAUGUCAACAUAGCUUUUGCCUAAAGGAAUAAAUACAUCAAGCACCAAAAGUAUUCUACUCUAGAGGAGAAAUAGUUUGCAAGCUACUGAGCCUAUGUGGACAUUCCAAAGGGAUCACACUAGGGUUUUCGCUGGUGAUGCGAAGAAUGUAGAGAUUUUGAACGAUAAAAAGACACACCAAGGUAAUCCUACCCUUAAAAUGGUUUGAAGUUUUUAUCACAGGAGACAAUGGGAAGCAUCUACCAGACUG
rnacentral:lncRNA from 1 species